CAGCCGCCGCGGUAAAACCAGCACCUCAAGUGGUCAGGAUGAUUAUUGGGCCUAAAGCAUCCGUAGCCGGCUCUGUAAGUUUUCGGUUAAAUCUGUACGCUUAACGUACAGGCUGCCGGGAAUACUGCAGAGCUAGGGAGUGGGAGAGGUAGACGGUACUCGGUAGGAAGGGGUAAAAUCCUUUGAUCUAUUGAUGACCACCUGUGGCGAAGGCGGUCUACCAGAACACGUCCGACGGUGAGGGAUGAAAGCUGGGGGAGCAAACCGGAUUAGAUACCCGGGUAGUCCCAGCUGUAAACUAUGCAAAUUCAGUGAUGCAUUGGCUUGUGGCCAAUGCAGUGCUGCAGGGAAGCCGUUAAGUUUGCCGCCUGGGAAGUACGUACGCAAGUAUGAAACUUAAAGGAAUUGGCGGGGGAGCAC
rnacentral:rRNA from 2 species